rnacentral:rRNA from 1 species
GAAAACAAAACUGUGGAUCCUGAGGUUACAUGAUAAAAAGAGUAUCCUUGUCGAAUUUGUUCACGAGAUCUCGAACACUUAAACCUACGGAAGGCAAGAUAUAAUUAAAGAUUUAACAUGUUUAACUAGAUUAAAAUAAGAACUAAUCUCGAACUUUAGACUAUUCUCUAAUGUAAAUUACCGUUUACCAUCCAAAUAUACGUUAAAUUAAGUACACACAGAGCCUGAUAAAGACUAAACGAUAAUAAGUCGACCUUUAAAGUGUGUCUUAGGACUUUAAACUUCCUUCUUAAUCCUUUCGUUUAUAUUAUAACAAUAGUUACCUUCUCCACCAAUUUACAUAGUGUUCGAAGACGACUGGGUAUUUUAGUUGUAUUGUUCACAAAUAAACUUUGUCCUCGUAUUUCCCUGUAGUUUAUUGAAUUCGUACUGAUACUUUACUUGACUUUGAGGGACCUCUCGUUCGAGGCCAUUUCUUUUCGGAAAGUUAGCUAAACUGUAUAACCACAUCCCUCUUCGUCCUCAAAACCUAUUUUAAUAUGACAGCUAAUAAAAAAUUUUAACUAUUUCGAUUAAAAUUUUAACUAUUUCGAUUGAAAGUGAUGUGGUCGACGUGAGAACAGGUCGUUCCGUGGCUACUUCCUAAGACAAAAACCCUCUGGACUAAUACCCCGGUUGUGCCAGUACGUUUAAAAAAACCGUCGUCUUCGAAACAACGACAAGUAGAGGGUCCUACCAAUAACGGUUAAUGGUCAAAAAGAACUUAUACAACUAGCCUCGGUCUCGAGCCCGGGCUGCGGAGGCGAGCGGCAAAGGGUGCGGAGGCCGCGGGGACCACUAAAGGCACACCUAGUCCAGAAGUCCCACGGUUAUAAAAGCCUGCAUCAACCCGGUCGUUCGAGUCUAGACUUCCUCUCUUAACUGUACCCAUCGGCUGCUCUCCCGUUCUAAGUGUACACGUAGACACCACGAUUGGAAGUCAAGUAAGGCUACAAUAUGAACACGAAGUUACUCAAGUACGACUACGAACUCUACUGUUUCGAAAAGACACAAAGGACGUCCCCCCACCUCAAAUUCCAUCACUUCGGAGUCAAUUAGAAGUUCAACGAUACAAGAACAAACAACAGUUCAUCACUGCCCUUCCGCGGCGGCUGGUCCUACACCUCCUUCUACCCCAACUCUGCCCAACCACUUCCACAACACCGACCAGCAACCGGUUCGUCGGCGGAGAGGGAGCAGAAACUGUAGCACUUCUUACUACAACUUUACCUACGCACGACGUCCUCGUCGUCUCCGCAGCACAUGUUGAACGGAGAGCAGAGAGGAGGGACAAUACCUAGGUUGUACUCCUAUUUAACAACCCCGUCAUCCAUGUUGAACGGAGAGCAGAGAGGAGGGACAAUACCUAGGUUGUACUCCUAUUUAACAACCCCGUCUCGUCGUCUCCGCAGCACACUCGGAACCCAAGAAGUAGUUAAGCAAGCACGCAAGGGAACCAGCGUACGCGCGGAGUCCAUGUUGAACGGAGAGCAGAGAGGAGGGACAAUACCUAGGUUGUACUCCUAUUUAACAACCCCGUCAUCGUUAGUUGUCAAGUGGAUGGACACAUAAGUUGCCCAGUCGUUCACCCAGUACUACUUGGUUUAAUACAAGAGAGAGAACGUAUAUCUACGAGUGCUAAUAUGACUAGACUAGUUAACCGGUCCCUUCGUCACAGUUCACCUAGGACCUUCUCGUGACCACACCCUAGGCGACGACGGUCACCAAUGGCUGCCGCCGCUGCUGGUGCUUCUAACAGGGUCGUAGACCUUGUCACCUACGUAACUCUAGCUCUACUGCUAAUCGGUGAGGUAGGUGCUAGUGAACCUUCCCCUCGGAGGGUGGACCGUGGCGGUUCGAAGGAGAGUUCGCCGCCGUGGUCCACCGCGGGGUUGACGAUCAUAUAACAGUUUUCACCUCCUAGAGUAACUAGGUAUGUGGCCGUCGACCCUACUCCUUGAAGAAGCACUGACAAAGAGCGGUCACCUACACGUUUCCUAUAACGUUUAAGGAGAAGUAUGAGUCAAGUGGCUUCUGAAACAACGUACCUUAAAAUGUGCCAGUCUCUGCAAAAGACAAACAAGACGGAUAAUGUCCCUCAAUAUAGUAGUUAAACCCAGCGCGGAGUACUCCGGACUACCUGUCCUCCCUGAAGGCCAUCGACUUAACUGGAGCCAACGACGCACCAAGGAGACCACCGUCUCCGCGGUUUAGUGCUUUCCGGAACCCUAGGUUUUGAGCCUCUUUGUCGGAACAGUUAAUCCCAGGACCGUUGUUUAAUGAACU